rnacentral:rRNA from 1 species
CGAUGCGGCGACGCGGAGCGAACCCCAGAAACAGCGCCCCAGUUCGGAUUGCAGCCUGCAACUCGGCUGCAUGAAGCUGGAAUCGCUAGUAAUCGCGGAUCAGAAUGCCGCGGUGAAUACGUUCCCGGGUCUUGUACACACCGCCCGUCACACCAUGGGAGUUGGGAAUGCCCGAAGUCAGUGGCCCAACCGUAAGGGGGGAGCUGCCGAAGGCAGAUCCGAUGACUGGGGUGAAGUCGUAACAAGGUACC